rnacentral:rRNA from 1 species
CGUGGAUAACCUGCCUCAUAGUGGGGGAUAACAGUUGGAAACGGCUGCUAAUACCGCAUAAGCGCACAGCAUCGCAUGAUGCCGUGUGAAAAACUCCGGUGCUAUGAGAUGGAUCCGCGUCUGAUUAGCUAGUUGGUAGGGUAAGAGCCUACCAAGGCGACGAUCAGUAGCCGGCCUGAGAGGGCGACCGGCCACAUUGGGACUGAGACACGGCCCAGACUCCUACGGGAGGCAGCAGCA